UAAGGAAUAUUGGUCAAUGGACGGAAGUCUGAACCAGCCAUGCCGCGUGCAGGAAGACGGCCCUACGGGUUGUAAACUGCUUUUGCAGGGGAAUAAACCUUCGUAUGUAUACGAAGCUGAAUGUACUCUGAGAAUAAGGAUCGGCUAACUCCGUGCCAGCAGCCGCGGUAAUACGGAGGAUCCAAGCGUUAUCCGGAUUUAUUGGGUUUAAAGGGUGCGUAGGCGGCUUUUUAAGUCAGGGGUGAAAGACGGUAGCUUAACUAUCGCAGUGCCCUUGAUACUGAAGAGCUUGAAUGUAGUUGAGGUAGGCGGAAUGUGACAAGUAGCGGUGAAAUGCAUAGAUAUGUCACAGAACACCAAUUGCGAAGGCAGCUUACUAAGCUAUGAUUGACGCUGAGGCACGAAAGCGUGGGGAUCAAACAGGAUUAGAUACCCGCGUAGUCC
rnacentral:rRNA from 1 species